CUUUGAAGGAUGGGCAGGGAGCUGGGUGGGGUCCUAUGAAAGCCUCAACCUCAGCUGCUCCCCUGGUUCCAGGCCCUGGAGCAGAGGGAGGGGGAACCCAGGUGUAUGGGAGGCAGGGUCGGACUAUGCGAUCCAGGAUGGCCAGAAGCGUUCAGCUCUCUGGCUGCCUCUGCCUGAGUGCUGGGAUUACAGGUUCACCCUGCCCCGUGAAUCCUCCUUGCUUUCUAAAGCUCACAGUGCCACGGGCGGAAGAUGGGAACAGGAAGGAAGUGGGAAAGAGAGCACAAGACAAAGAUCACUUAGAUAGUAAAGAGAAUCGCCGAGGGUGUUCCAGGUCUCCAGUGAGGAGGGACCUUUGACCUGGGACCUCGGGGUGACACCCUUGCAGAGAUCUGCCUGGAGGAGGUGUCUUGUGCAUGAGUGAUGAGCAUGUGGAAGGCAGAGGACAACCUGCAGGGCUCAGCUCUCUCCACGUGGCUUCUGGAGAUAGAACUUCUGCCUCCAGGCUUGGCUGCAAAGUUCCUGCACUUAGUGAGCCAUAGCUCCACCAACCCCAAGCAAGUCUUCUGAGCAGUACAAAGUUCAAACCUACCAUGAUAUGAUUGUUAGCUGUUUGGGGAACACCGGAGUCUGUGAGGAGUUGGGGAGGAGGGAAUUCAGCUCCUUAUUGACAUGUUGCUUUUUCUUUUUUCUUUUUUUAGAACAGGCUGACCUUAAUUAAAUUCCUAAUCCUUCAGAUCCUUCUGCCUCAUUGCUUGGGAUUACAGAUGUGACAGUCUCUCCUUUAAAGCUGGUCUCACUAGUCAGUUUUCCUGGUUUUCUGAGGUGCAGCAGGCACUGGGCUAUUCCUGGUUCCGUCAAGUACUUGUAUGAAUUCGUUGCUGUGGGGUCAUCACCCUCUCCUAGGGAGCAUAUAGUAUUUCAUCCUUUUCUCAAGGUAGUUUUGACUGAGAAGUGACGAGCCUCAGUUUCCUGCCUCUGGUUAUCUAGGGCUCUGGAGUCAGGUGGCCUGCCUGUCCUCUCUAGGAGGGCGAGUGAGGGACAGGCCCUCACCUACCUAUACCACACACCAGCCUGGAGCUUGAGGUCAAUGUGUGGUUUAGGAUAAACUCCUCCCCUUCAUGUCCUAUAUAUGAAGACGUUUCAGGGACAAUAGCUAAGGGUCCUGGGAGGUUUUAACCCAGUUCUUUUGUAAAUAAAGAGAACUGGACAGAUGAAGACCAACUUCCCACAGCUCCAGUUACGAAAAAGAGCGACUGGUCUGUGGGUAUUAGAGACACCAGACAACGUAACAUGCACCUACACGGCGACCCUUCUAUCUUUUUCAGGUCUCAGACUCUCCUCCACUUUAAAGGAAGACAUUCCAGGUAUCACUUUCUGUUCAACAGGGGACCAGGACCCUAGGAACUUCCACGUUCAUUUUCUGGAAACUGAGUCAGCCUCUGAGUCCAGAACAAAAGAGGCCUGCUUUAAAAUAUGUCUCAGAACAGG